GGUUGUGGCUCAAUGGUAGAACACUUGCCUAGCAUAUAUGAGGCACUGGGUUCGAUCCCCGGCAUCA
rnacentral:tRNA from 1 species